GGAAUUNCUGGGCGUAAAGCGGGCGCAGACGGUUACUUAAGCAGGAUGUGAAAUCCCCGGGCUCAACCUGGGAACUGCGUUCUGAACUGGGUGACUAGAGUGUGUCAGAGGGAGGUAGAAUUNCACGUGUAGCAGUGAAAUGCGUAGAGAUGUGGAGGAAUACCGAUGGCGAAGGCAGCCUCCUGGGAUAACACUGACGUUCAUGCCCGAAAGCGUGGGUAGCAAACAGGAUUAGAUACCCUGGUAGUCCACGCCCUAAACGAUGUCGAUUAGCUGUUGGGCAGCAUGACUGCUUAGUAGCGAAGCUAACGCGUGAAAUCGACCGCCUGGGGAGUACGGUCGCAAGAUUAAAACUCAAAGGAAUUGACGGGGACCCGCACAAGCGGUGGAUGAUGUGGAUUAAUUCGAUACAACGCGAAGAACCUUACCUGGUCUUGACAUGUACGGAACCCUCCAGAGACGGAGGAGUGCCUUCGGGAGCCGUAACACAGGUGCUGCAUGGCUGUCGUCGGCUCGUGUCGUGAGAUGUUGGGUUAAGUCCCGCAACGAGCGCAACCCUUGUCAUUAGUUGCCAUCAUUAAGUUGGGCACUCUAAUGAGACUGCCGGUGACAAGCCGGAGGAAGGUGGGGAUGACGUCAAGUCCUCAUGGCCCUUAUGACCAGGGCUUCACACGUCAUACAAUGGUCGGUACAGAGGGUAGCCAAGCCGCGAGGCGGAGCCAAUCUCACAAAACCGAUCGUAGUCCGGAUUGCACUCUGCAACUCGAGUGCAUGAAGUCGGAAUCGCUAGUAAUCGCAGGUCAGCAUACUGCGGUGAAUACGUUCCCGGGUCUUGUACACACCGCCCGUCACACCAUGGGAGUGGGGGAUACCAGA
rnacentral:rRNA from 1 species